UGAUGGCGGCGAGGGAGGGC
rnacentral:misc_RNA from 1 species